rnacentral:rRNA from 1 species
ACCUACGGGAGGCAGCAGUCGAGAAUAUUGGACAAUGGGGGAAACCCUGAUCCAGCGACGCCGCGUGAGCGAUUGAAGGCCUUCGGGUUGUAAAGCUCAAUAAGCAGGGAAGAAUAAAAAAACUCUAACAUAGUUUUUGAUGACUGUACCUGUCUAAAGCACCGGCUAAUUACGUGCCAGCAGCCGCGGUAAUACGUAUGGUGCUAGCGUUGUUCGGAAUCAUUGGGCGUAAAGGGCGUGUAGGCGGGAGAUUAAGUGGGAAGUGAAAACUCUGGGCUCAAUUCAGAGACUGCUUUCCAAACUGAUUUUCUAGAGUGCAGAAGGGGCAAGGGGAAUUGGCAGUGUAGCGGUGAAAUGCGUAGAUAUUGCCAAGAACACCGGUGGCGAAGGCGCCUUGCUGGUCUGUAACUGACGCUGAUGCGCGAAAGCGUGGGGAGCGAACGGGAUUAGAUACCCCGGUAGUCCC